CCCUUAGAUGUCCGGGGCCGCACGCGCGCUACACUGAAGGAAUCAGCGUGGCUUUCUCCCUGACCCGAAAGGGUUGGGAAACCCGUUGAAUCUCCUUCGUGAUAGGGAUUGGGGCUUGAAAUUGUUCCCCAUGAACGAGGAAUUCCCAGUAAGCGCGAGUCAUAAGCUCGCGUUGAUUACGUCCCUGCCCUUUGUACACACCGCCCGUCGCUACUACCGAUUGAAUGGCUUAGUGAGCUUUCUGGACUGUUGCGCUUCGUUGGAAACUUCGUUGUGCAUACGGGAAGGAAAUCAAACUUGAUCAUUUAGAGGAAGUAAAAGUCGUAACA
rnacentral:rRNA from 1 species